rnacentral:lncRNA from 1 species
AUGCCCCGCUUCCUUUCCUGGGGCGAACAGUCUCAGUCCUCUCCUCCAAUCGGCCCACGCCUCCCUCCUUCCAUUCCACUUACCUGGAAGCCAUCACUGACUCUCACCUCCCCCCUUCUCUCUCCCAGUCCCCUCCCCACCCAGUUCUUCUCCCCAUCCCCCUUCGCCCACCCCAAACCACAGAUCUGCAGCCCCACCCCCCACCUCCAGCCCUGGGCCCAUCAGCCUUCCUCCGCCAUCUUUCUCCCCAUCCCUCAUAUUCCCUCUCCAUUAGCCUUUCCCAUCCGGACCCUCUGUCUUCAUCCCACCCAGCCCAGCCCACCCGCCUCCUUCUCCCACUCUCCCCCCAUGGCCCCGCCCCAGACACGCAGGGAGGAAUCCAGGGCUGCAGAGGGGAUCAGGUGGUCAGUCAGGGAAGGAGGCGGCAUCUGCUGGAGAGACUCACAGACAGACAAGGACACACGGACACAGAGGCAAGGGCAUAGCCAGACAUGCACGAUCCACUCCCCCCGGCCUCCCCACCCCCCUCAUGUGCAGACAGGCGCCCCCAGCCAGGCCCUCAGUCUCCCUGCCCCGGCUGUCCUGCUCCUCCCAGCGCCCCCGUAUCAGCUUCCCCAGAUUAGGGGCUGGACACACAGCACAGCCCCAGGCCACGCGCCGCACUGCGGAGCCCCCCCAUCCAGGCCUGGAAGGAGAGGGAGAGGUCAUCUGGUGUUCAUCCCACCGCCUGGACCUGGCCCCACCCGGCCGGGGACGCAGACGGGUGUCAACACCCCCAGACACAAACCCCGGCUCUCAGACACACCCAGACACGAAUGCAGACAGUCGGACACAACCUGGGCCACUCGGUGCUGGCAGGACCUGACGGAGCCAGGAGCUCCCACACGCACACGCGCACACGCACACACGGCCCGGGGCGUGCGACCGCACCAGGUCAGGCAGACGGGCCGAGGGCCGGCCGGCGCCCCGCGGGCCCCGCACACAAAGACGCGCCAGCACACGCCACAGCCCCGCGGCCCCAGGCGGCCCCGCGCACACGCUCCAAGCGGCAGGGCAGACGCACCGGCCGGGACCCGCAGACCCGGCCCGGGAGCGCGGGGUCCCGGAGCCCCCGCCCCCGCCCCCGGGGCCCCCCAGCGUCGCCGACCCCCCCAGUGUCGCACACACGCACGGCCCGGCCGGCCCGAGCACCUACCCCCAUCUCGGCGGCUCCGGGGGAGAGGGGCGGGCGGGCGGGGCGGGGGCCGGGGCCGAGGGCUCAGGGCGCAGGGCGCAGGGCGCAGGGCGCAGGCUCAGGCGCGGGCUCGGCUGGGGCCUCUGCAGCGCCCGCGCCCCGGUCCGCGCUCCGUGCAGCCGGCAGCCCUCCCGCACAGAGUCUGCGGCGGCCGCCGCCUCCGCCUCCUCAUAUGCCCGCGCCCGCGGGGGGGCCGGCGCCGGCCAAUCAGGAGCGCCGCCGCCCUGACGGAUGGCCCGCGGCCCCGCCCCCGGCACUGCAGCUGUCCUCCCCGCCCCCAGCCUCCGCAAAGUGGCGGCUCGGCCGAGGAGGGGGAGCGCUGCAGCAGCGGGGGAUCCCGGAGACCCCGCAGUGAGGAGCCCCGAGAGCCCCGCCAUGGGGGUGGCGCUUCCGAGGAAGGGGCGCUCGGACGGAGAGCGCCCCGAAAAUCCCCUUAUGGUGGGGGUGUUGCCACAGGGAGAGGGGCUGCGCGGCGGGAGGUGGACACCGGGUGGGAGGCGAGCCCCCUCCGUAAACCGCCACAAGAGGGCGGGGGGGGGGGUGGCCCAGAGCACCUCCUUCCGCAGUGA